GGUGAGCAGUGGCAGGUGAGGAGAUCCCCACGUGGCUUCUCUGCUCCCUGCCAUGCUGGGUCAUGGGGGAGGGAAGCAGGACAAAAGGGAACAGCAGCAAGCAGGCCUGCUGUUCCCUGCCAUGGUGGGUAGAGCAGCUGUCCACCACUGCGCACACCUCCAGCAGGACUGGGGGCCACCUCCGACUGGGGGAGCAGGGGCUGUAUGGCAGCAGGGGAAGGAGAGUUACAAGCAGGGCCAGGGGGUUGGCAAGACGAUGCAUGGCCAUGGAAAACUGUGGUUACUCAAACCUGUAUACCAUUGUAGCCAAAAUGGUAUACAGAAUAUUAACUGUGGAUACUCAAAACCGUGGUUGGCAAAACCGUGGUUGGCGAGGGAAACCUGUACUCAUAUCUAAGACAAGGGGCUUUUUUCCCCCUGUUGAAUGGAGGAAAAAACUUGUCUUGAAUUUGAGUAAAUGCUGUAUUACCAAAAACAAAACAACUAAACCCUGUUUUAUACGAUGUCUGUGGUUGUACAUUUAAAAAGUUUGGAGCACCAGCCUGUACUGCUACUUAAACAGUUUCAGUACAGGUUCAGGGCAAUAUACUGCUGACAGUUGUUAUCAGCAAUAGCUAUGUUGCCUAGUGUAGACUGGCCUAACUAAUCAGGUAAAUAUUAUAGAUAAGCUGAUGAGUCUUUCUUACAUCCAGUAUCUUUUGAAUCAUCAUAUCAGAUCAGUACUGUAUUUCCUGUUUCCUGCCUCCAACAGUGGCCAGUAUGAGUUAACUAGAAGAACAUGCACUAAACCCUAUAGCAAGCAGUACUGAGAACUGCCCACAGAAAUUAUUUCUUCCUCAACUUCCCAAAUCUCCUACCAUCUUUCUGACUUAAGGUCUGUCUGUAGAAGAUGCUGAUUAAAGUAAUUUAGUAAUUUUCCAAUGAAACACAUGUUAAUUGGAAGAUGCUGACUUGGUGAAGCUGAAAAGUUCCUCAGUAACAUCUCGUUUUGAUGAACUUAUGAUGAAACAGAAUUUUUGGGAAUGUUGGCAUUCUGGUGUUUAUGACUGUUUUAACCCUACCACACAGACUGCCUUAGGGAAUAAGGAGCCCAGAAGCUUUAGCUUUAUGGCAGAUUAAGUAUUUCUGUUUUGUUUUAUUGAAUCUGUUAUUCUGGUCACACAUCCCUAAUGCUUUGUUCCACUGCCAUGCUACAUUUUUUCAGUUGUUUUUUUCCUGGCACUCUGUGUGUGUGUGUGUGUGUGUGACAAAAGGCAAUGGAAUUCUAGGAUUUAGUGUCAAACUAAUGAUUCCAGCCAUUUUUCUUGUUUCACCCCAUCAUUCUUUUGUUUCUACAAGCUACACCCAUUUCCAAGAGCAGUCAGGCAGCAUUCAAGAAACAUUGGUAAGCACUGAUAUUGUCAUGAUGAUAAAUGUAAACAGGCUACUGCAAGCAUCUAUAAACUUGUAGACUGGCUCAGACCCUAGUUGUAAGGUGUACGUAGACAAAAUAAUAUUUCCCGUUUAUGUUGAUGCCCCUGCAUUUGUGUUUGCACAACCUGGGAUUUUCUGCCACUCUAAAGUCCAUUUAGCACCUUAAACUAACACUACUUGGAGAUGUGUUAAUUUGCUGUGCUUUCCAGUUACACCGUUCCAACUGUGGAUUUGUUUGUGCCAACAGCCAGGGACUCCAAAGACUUCUAAUGAAUCCCCUUCACCAUGAGGGGGCACUGUGUUCCAGUCUUUAGCCAGUAGAUGCUGCUGUGUGUUCUUUUUUGCCCUCCUUCACUCCUCACUCCUCCCUCACAGCACGCAGUUUAGGUCGGGACCGGUCCACUCAGACCAAUUAUUAUUUUAAAAUGGGGGAGGCCAAUAAUCCCUUAAUUUUCUACCCCCUUUUAAUUUUUCCACCCCCCCGCCACCUAUAAUGUAUGUCCUCCCCCCCGCCCAUGUACCCUCCUAUCCUGUCCCCCCAUGUAGCCUCCACCUGCAACCCCCUCACCCCACGUCAUGUGCUGCCACUACAGUGGACAUAGCUCCCAAUGACAGCUGCAGCAUCACCAUAAUGGUAAGUUUUUUGCAAGUAGUUUGAAACUUUGGAGUGAGUGAUUACAUGACUUCCUUCAAUAUUGCAAACCUUCUGAACUUCAUCACAUUCCAUUUCAGAACCAUGACCAAAAGUCCAGGGGCAGGACGCUGCCUGCCAGACCUGACGCCCAGGUUAAGCAACAUCCCAGGUGAUAUGUAGAAAACUUUCACGGGCGGAACUCGCAGUGGGUGGCAACCAGCCCAGUAAUGAAUGAAGAUAGUGAAGAGGAGAGUAGAGUGAAAUAUCUUCAGCUUUUUAAUUUUUUUUUACAUUUUGUAUAUAUUUUAUAUUGCUAAGUUGUAUAUAGUUAUUGUUAAGCUGCAGCAUUUUCAGUAAAGUGUUUUAUUUUUGCUCUA